UACGUAGGGUGCAAGCGUUGUCCGGAAUUAUUGGGCGUAAAGAGCUCGUAGGCGGUCUGUCGCGUCUGCUGUGAAAACCUAGGGCUUAACUCUGGGCGUGCAGUGGGUACGGGCAGGCUAGAGUGCGGUAGGGGAGACUGGAAUUCCUGGUGUAGCGGUGAAAUGCGCAGAUAUCAGGAGGAACACCGGUGGCGAAGGCGGGUCUCUGGGCCGUAACUGACGCUGAGGAGCGGAAAGCAUGGGGAGCGAACAGG
rnacentral:rRNA from 1 species